GUAGGAGGCGAGCGUUAUCCGGAUUCACUGGGCGUAAAGCGCGUGCAGGUGGUUCGGUAAGUUGGGCGUGAAAUCUCCCGGCUCAACUGGGAGAGGUCGUUCAAUACUACCGAACUUGAGAGCAGAAGAGGAAGAUGGAAUUCCCGGUGUAGUGGUGAAAUGCGUAGAUAUCGGGAGGAACACCAGUGGCGAAGGCGAUCUUCUGGUCUGUUUCUGACACUCAGACGCGACAGCUAGGGUAGUAAACGGGAUUAGAGACCCCGGUAAUCCUAGCCGUAAACGAUGUGAACUUGGCGUUGGUGGGUUAAACUCCAUCAGUGCCGUAGCAAACGCGAUAAGUUCACCGCCUGGGGACUACGGCCGCAAGGUUA
rnacentral:rRNA from 1 species